CCCUAACCCCACCGCCUCCGACCUCCUCCCCGUCACGUCCUCCCCUUCCCCUCGCACCACCACCAGCCGCUUGCCACCAUGGGAUUGGUCCCGCGGCAAGGCGACGUUGUCUGCACUGGGAUCCCCCAUGGAUGGUGUCGUGUAGCCGACUAGGAAGGAGGUGCCGGUGGGGACCGGAGAAGUGUGGUGGCUAGGUGGAAAUAAGACGAGGAUGGGGAGGGGACUCAACUUUUAUAGAUGAGAGAGGGAGCUAGUGAUUGGGUGAGCUCGGGUCAAGGGAUAGCCAUGAGCACGAGCACGGUGAGAGACCCCUCCCUCUCUUGUGCUCGCCUCGCUUGGUCGCCGGUGAUGUUGAAGAUGAAGACCCCGUGGUUGCAUGGCGGCAAGGCGCGCCACGCCCUUGUUGUGGUGGCAAUGGGGCGAAGGCGAAGGCCGCAGCAGCCGAGGGUAGCUCACCGUCCAGAGAGCUCUCGCUGCAGCUGGAGCACGUCUCCCUCAUCUCCUUCCUCUCUAACCGUCAUGAGACUGGCCCCACGCCCUUCGCGGCGCUCCUGGAGGAGGAGAGCUCUCGGGACGACCCGACCCCACCGCCUCAGCUGCAGCCACGGCCGUCGCCACAGCCGCAGGCCUUGCUCAUGGAGACCGACGAGCCCAUGGAGGAGAAGGAUUGCUGCAUCCGUAGCUAGGAUUUCUUGUGGUAUGUUCUGAUUACCUAUGUGUUGGUGUGUUUGCAGUAUGCUAUCAGAUAUACCCUCUUCCUCUUGUCUCUGUUCUGCAGCACCCCGGACUACAUCACGCCGGAGAUGCCGUAGCUGCUAACAAUUUCGAGGCCAAUAAGGUGGGGAAGGAGAAUACCCCUUGCCCCAAAUCUCCAAAGAAGUCAGUGAAUGCUCAGAGCAAGAGGUACAUGAGAGAUAAGGUGACAUGCUUAAUCCCCAGAAAAUUGGUCAUGGAAACUUCAGUGUUGUGUUCAAAAUUCUGAACAGGAUAGAUGCGAGCUAGGGUUUCGGUGGGGCGCGGCAAAGCUCACGGGCGGCGAGAUGGAGCCGUGGCUCGGUGUCAUGUAGCGACGGGUGGUAGAGGACUCAGGCAUGUGCGAGCAGGCAGGGCAAGCACGCGCUCCAGGAUGAUAGGCCACGGGCACGAGCACUCGUUCGGUUGGCUUUGAAGGUAAGCCAUCUCGGCUAUUUCUGGGGGGCAAAAAUACGAAUUUGUACAAUAUACGUGAGUGUAUUUAAUAAAAUGGAUAAUUUUUUCUGUAUUUAUGAUUUUAGCAUCUGUAUUCGGCGUAGGGUGUGCCGAAAAUAGAUUUUCAGGGCACGGUGUACCGAAAAAAGGCAUUUUCGGCACACCGUGCACCGAAUACAGGGGAAAGUGUAUUUGGCACAGCGUGUGCCGAAAAUCACAUGUAUACGGCACAUGGUGUGCCGAAAUACAUGUUUUUUUGUGUUGCCCGUGCGGCCGGUUCGAUUCCAUGUUACCGGUAUUUUGUUAUUUCAUGUAAUUGGCAACUUUCAACUAAAUUUGAAACAAG